UCUGUAGCACAGUCUUUCUUUGCCCCAGAUUGUAAAUUCAUUGGAGUAGAGAUGCCACGUAUUAGAGCAGCGCUGUACUGAGAGGUUUUUCAGACUGAAAUAGUCUCACCUUCUCCUUUGAUGUGGGAGAAAUGGCAGCAAGGUUGUGUUACCCACAUAAGUAGGAAAGAAUUCAAAAAGAGAGAGAAAACAAACUAUCCUUCUAAACCUUCUUAAUCCUUCUAAAAACAAGUCUCACCCUCUGGGGACAGUUUCAUCUGAAGGGCCUGUGUCUCUUUCAAGCAUGUGUCCUCAGGUUGUCCCCAGUCAGCUCUAACCUCACAAAGCUCUUCUUGGUGGAAGCUGAUGAGUCUUCUUCUGGCACUGUCCUGGAAUAGUGGUGCUGCUGCUUGACUUGAUCUGGCCUUGGAUGUCAUAUCAGCCUGGAGCAUAUUCAUCUGCCUUCUACAGAUGCCUGCUGCUGCAGCGCCUGUGUUAUUCCCAUGCAAUCAAGCAUUGGCAUGAGCCAUCUGGAAGGCUUGGCUGACCUGUCCAGUAUCUAGUUUACAACCCUACUCAGGCAUAGCACACCAGGGAACUGCAUAAGACAAACUGGUCCUCCUGGGACCUGACCCAGGGCUCUAGCACCCACAAGAUUUGCCCGUUCUCAUCCUCAUUAGUCCCAGAGCAGUGUCAGGGAGAUUGUUUUAUAACUGCAUAACAUAAAAGCAAAGGGAGGGAAGGCAUCUCUAUGGGUACUGCUUGAACUCUGACAUCAGAUCUCAGGCAAGAUCUGUGCCCUUGUUUGUUCAAGCAGCAGCUUGCCUCUGGAAGUCAAGAACUGACAGAUUGCUUCCAUGUGACACUGGCUGCAGAAAUUGAGGUAUCCUCAUGCUCUGAAAUGGGCAGUUGGAUUCUGGAGGACCUUUGGUCCUGACGGUGAAGUGAAGCAUGAAGCUGGUCCUGCUGCAUCUGCCCAGGCAGGAUCUGCUCUCUGCCUCCUCCAGUCGUAGUGAGAGCAAAGUCAGCAUCUGUCUUGCCCAUGUGCAUGCCAGUAUGGCUGCAGAAACCUCCUGGGAGGCCAGAGGUGGACAGGGAGCCUCUGCUGGGGCAAGGAAAAAGCACAGAGCCUGAUAGGCUGCAGUAUCCCUUUAGAAGAGAGCAGACUUCACAGAAGUUAGCUCGAUGUCAGUCAUCAGCCUCCGACUCAAAAGAAACCUUGGAAGGGGAAUAAAAUCCAGCAGCAGCAACCUCUAAUCCUGAAGAGUGAGACUGCAAAUGUUGUCAGAGAACUCACUUUCAUAUGUUUUUAAUUCAGAGGGAAAUAUGGAGAAUUUGUGUUAAUCUACAUAUUCAAGAGAACGAGAUGGCCUGAAACACAGUGCUAUGUUUCAUUAAAUAUUUGUCUUAAUGCAGAAUGCAACAAACCAUUAUAAUCGUGUAUUCAUGGAAAACACUCUCUUUGAAACCUCCUUCCUACAUUACAAAGAGUUUGAAUCCUGGAUUUAACCACAAAAUUCAGCUUGGCAGAAAUGAAUUACCUACUAUGCAGGUGCAGUGGCAUCUCCAUAGUAUAACUUUUCUGUAUGUUUAUGAGCAUAAACACUAAGUGUAUAAAUCUAUUAUCAA